rnacentral:rRNA from 1 species
GCUUGUCUCAAAGAUUAAGCCAUGCAUAUCUAAGAAUAACUAACAUUAUCUUGAAUCUGUGAAUGGCUCAUUAUAUCAGUUAUAGUUUAUUUGAUGGUCCUUGCUACUUGGAUAACCGUAGUAAUUCUAGAGCUAAUACAUGCAUUAAACCCCGACUUCUGGAAGGGGUGUAUUUAUUAGAUGGAAACCAAUGCGGGGUAACCCGGAAUAUGGUGAUUCAUAAUAACUUUCGGAUCGAUUUAUCGAUGCAUCAUUCAAGUUUCUGCCCUAUCAGCUUUGGAUGGUAGGGUAUUGGCCUACCAUGGCUUUAACGGGUAACGGAGAAUUAGGGUUCGAUUCCGGAGAGGGAGCCUGAGAAAUGGCUACCACAUCCAAGGAAGGCAGCAGG